CGUAGAUAAUGGACUAGGUCAUAAUUAGUACAUUUGAAGACCACACCAGGCUAAAAGUAGUUGCAUAUACCAGAGGGCAACUUUAGAAUAUAAAAUGGUCUUGACAAACUGAAUAAAUAACCAGACAGAGGAAAAAGAAGGAAAAGAGAGAAAGAAAAUGAAAAGAAGGAAAGAAGAGAUGGAGUACAGAAAAUUAUUCUUGUAGGGCAUGUUCAUCAACAGACUCCAUGUCAACAAUUGAUAUGAAGCUUCAAAUGGACCAGAAAACAGGAUACAGGAGGAAACAAGGUGACCUUAGCUGAAAGGCAGCAAGACACUUAUAUUAGCCAUCAUAUCAGAAACCUUAUGCAGAAUCAAACUGUGUAUCAGAGGCAAGAAAAACAUAGAGCUUCUGGUUAACAAAUAAGGAGGAAAGAAAUACAACAUUAACAAGAACUGGUAAAAAGCAACUUCAUUAGUUGCAAAAUUCUUCGAGAGAGGGAAAACUUUAAAACUGAAGACAAAUGAAAAGAACAAAGUUAGAGAGACUAGACUAUUUCAGGUGAACAAAAUAUUAUUAUACCAUAAACCUAAAUAUUAUUAUACCAUAUACUAAGAAAUUUCUCAUUUUCAUUAAUGACUG
rnacentral:lncRNA from 1 species